rnacentral:ncRNA from 1 species
AGGUCAUAGGAUAAAACAAAUUGAGAAUUUGUCGCUAUUUGUAAAUUGUAUCCUGGCUUAAGUUGGCCAAAGUGUCUUAUUUUUUUAAAGUAUUUAAAAGUAAAAUUACAUGUUAAUACGUAGUAUUAAUGGCGAGACUCCUGAGGGAGCAGUGCCAGUCGAAGACAGGGCCCCAACACAGAAGCUGACAUAUAGUCAGCUUACAACAAUGUGCCGGUUGGGGUGGCUGAGACGGCACCCUAGGAAGGGACCCGUCAUCAAAAAUUCUAUUUAUAGAAUUUUACAGUAAUGUGCCAGACGGGCAAAGCGAAGCCAUUCAAUACGAAGUAUUGUAUAAAUAGAGAACAGCAG